rnacentral:rRNA from 1 species
CGCUACCUACGGGGGGCAGCAGUGGGGGAUAUUGCACAAUGGGGGAAACCCUGAUGCAGCGACGCCGCGUGAGUGAAGAAGUAUUUCGGUACGUAAAGCUCUGUCAGCAGGGAAGAAUAAUGACGGUACCUGACUAAGAAGCCCCGGCUAACUACGUGCCAGCAGCCGCGGUAAUACGUAGGGGGCAAGCGUUAUCCGGAUUUACUGGGUGUAAAGGGAGCGUAGGCGGUUCAGCAAGUCAGAAGUGAAAGCCCGGGGCUCAACUCCGGGACUGCUUUUGAAACUGUUGAACUAGAUUGCAGGAG